GCUCAGUUAAGCUUACCUAAUGGUGGCAAUGCACUGGAAAUGGACUUAAACUGGUGCUAAACUUGGCUUACGGAUAGUAGACACCAUUAAUAUAAGGCUUCAGUUAUACAGAAUGAGGCAGCAAGGUGUGGGAUAAGAGAUUUGGGAUCAAAUGUCAGCUUUUCUACUUUCUAGGUAUGUGGCUUUGGGCAAGUCACAUCUCUCUGAAAUUCAGUAUUAUGAUCUUUGAAAUGAAGACAUGCCUUUCCUGGAAGGUUGCCGAUAGGACUAGCAAUAAUGGUCUGCACCUAAGGGUCUGCUGGGCCCACAUUAUGUGAUAACACUUAAGGAAAGACUUGUCCUAUUGUUCAAAUAUGGCCAACUUAAACAUCAAGGAUGUUCCCAUAACAGUCCUUCCUGUGUGCUUUGCCAGUUGAAAAUUUAAACGGGAGAUAUAUCAUUUUUUAAACUGUUUUCCUUUAAAGAAGAUUAUGAAAAUAGUAUGCUGGAGGACUGUAGUCAGACUGAAGGUCUGGGGAAUAGAUGGGACUAGAUCAUAAAAAAGAAGUGAUAGAAAGGGGGAUGGAUUUCUGUGGUGAGGGGAAGGGGUCAGAGAUUACUUGGAGAUUUCCAGCCUGGGAGCUGGGAGGUGAUGCCAUUUACUGAAAUAUGAAAUCAAUCAAGAGGAAAACAGAAGGUGAAGGAUAGGCUUAGAUGGUGGGGUAGGAGAAGAAUUUGGUUUGGACUUACGUUUGAGGAAACCCAGGGGGAGGUGUUGACUAGAUUGUUGGAAAGAGAGUUCUGGUAGACGAGAUUACCUGGGAAGGGAACCAAGGGCAGGGCUUUGGGGGCCUCAAGAAUUAAGGAUGCAGGGAGAGGAGGAGGGGGACUCAGCAAAAGUUCGUAAGGAGAAAAAGGCCCAUAGCUUAGAACAGUGGUUCCUAAGCCUGAGAGCUUGUGAAAACACCAAUUUUGGGGCCCCACCCCCAGAGUUUGAUUUGGGUAGGGCCUGAGAAUUUGCAUUGCUAAUAGGUUCCCAUGGGACGCUGAUGAUGCUGACCCAGGAACCACACUUUGAGAACCAAUGGUUAGAAUGUCUGCUAGAAGACCUGGAGAAAGCUGAAAAGCUUCUUACCCAGUGUCGGUCCACCAACAUCCUUCACCUGGAUUCAUGCAGAGGUCUCUCUGCUCGUCUUCCUUCUGCAAGUCUUGCCCACUCCUUCCUCCGCCAAUUCAUUCUCAGUGCUGCGGGAGUCCUCUUUCUAAGACAGAGAUUGACUGUUGAUCAAUUUUCGUUGAUACGGUGAUGGCCAACCCCUGACUUCAUGGCCAGUCAACAGGCAGCUCUGGGAUAUGGACGGUCGGCAGUGCUGGCUAGUAGGUGUCACACCCUUCUGACGGAUUUUUCAUUCAUUAAAUACUUCGAGUACACACUAAGCUCUCUGCUGGACACAGGCUAUGAGGUCAAAGAGACUAUAUUUCAACCAACUGCCAAUCAAACAGGACUGGAUAACUUCCAAGCGGCACGGCUACUAACCCAUUACUCACAUGGACAGAGAGCUGGGACUCCUGAGAAGUUUGCAUUGUGGGUCAGCUCUAGCUAAACGCAACCUAUUCAGCUGAGACUCUAAUGAAAACAGUGGCACAGGAAAAGGCCUAAGGGCCGGGCAGCUUGAGGACAGGUCUGGCUCAGUCCCACACCUUGAGAAAAUGAGAACUGGCCCAAGAAGGCACUAGUAAUCAAGUCUGCUGUUUUGUACAAAUUCUCUCAGCUGUUUGAUCCUCAUCUUAUUAUUUUCUCAACUAUGAAAUAAAGCAAAGAGCCUUCAUGAUUGAUGGCUCCUGUCUCAGGAGGCUCAGCCUUCUGUGCAGGCAGGGACCUAUGCAAUGCAAUGUGAGAAUUCAAAGACGAUGGUGAGAAUUCCACCAUCCACUUCCCACUUCCAACCUGCCUUCAAUUCUGGUCUACUCUGCUGCCUAUAACACCACCGUUACUGAUAUGUAGGGCUCUGGUGUGCUACUACUGGUCCCUUUAAAAUGCAAAUCUAUGUCAAGUCCCUUGUAUCUUACUGCGGAUAUCAAUAAUCCUCUGGUGGGACUGAUACAAGUGUGAGAUAACCACACCUUAGGGGGCCUAAACAGACCGAAACUGAGCUAAUAUGUAGCCACUAGUUAACAUCGGCUACUGAACACUUGAAAGGUGUUCAAAUGGAGUCCAAAUUGAGGUGUGCUGUCAGUAUAAAAUACCAGAUUUUGAAGAUUUACUUUAAAAGACUCAUUGAUUUCGUAAAUUGAUUACAAAGAUAUUUUGGAUCUAUUGGGCCAAAUCAAAUGUUAUUAAAAUCAUUUCACCUGUUAUUUUAUUGUUUUUAAACGUGGCUACUAGAAAAUUUUAAAUCACAUAAUAUGGCUUGUACUUGUGGCUCGUACCGUAUUUCCCUUGGAUGGGGCUGGUCGAAGACUAGACUGUUCGAUGUGGUCCAUUUUGGUGACGAUCUAGGCUGGCACUCUCCCCAUGGGCCUGGAGUACCCCUCCUUUGCUUCUCUAUCCUUCCUCCUGCCUGUUAUCUUCCAGACUUCAGCGCUCUUGUUUUGCAAACAAGAAAAUUCCCCCAGAGAGAUCAAAGGAAUCGCCCACGUCCUACAGGGAAGCUCACACAGUCCAGUGGCCAUGAGAUUUAAAGGGCACUGAGCACAGAAGUUGCCAAGCCCUUGGAAGGUACAGACAAGAAAGAGUACCUGGAAGUGAGGCCGGCUGACUCUCACCUAAAGGAGACUAAACAAAAGAGGUCUGAGUGGUACAAGAAGGUUUCUAAUCCCAGCCCCUGAUUACAAGGAAGUAUAUGAGUUGCCUAUAAAUAAGUUGUAUUACAAAACCGCCAGGAAGUGAGCUAGCUUGUUAGGGCCCUCUGUUUACUACUUAUAACUUGAGGGAAUUUCCAAAUCUCCAAUUAUUAGUUUGGGGAAACAGGAGAACUUUUUCUCUGUGAGAGAGCCUACUCAGAACCCAUUGUGUAAUUGUCGAAAAUAAACAAUACUUUAUAAUGGGCUGGAAAUGCUCCAGCAGUCCUUGACCUAAGCCCCAGGCCCCAGCCCAAAGAGCAGACGCUGGUUCUGUCUUACCCAAUCGGGAUGAUGGCCAGGAAGGAGAGAAAGGAGGAGAGGGCAAAGCAGGUGCCCACGAACUUCUCCAUGGUGAGCUGGUAGAUCUUGUUGUACAUGGUGGAUGUCACCACCCCGGUCAGAGCCAGGGACAGCUGCAGGAUGACAAACACCUUUCCUGUGGAAGGGACCGAGGUUACCAAGGUUACUAAGCUGUCCCUCCAUGUUCCCUGAGAGCUGAGUCUCCGGGGGGUUCUCAGGAGACCCCUCCCCCUCCCCAGACUCCCUCUGUCUCCCUGGCUCAUUUUGCAGGAUCCUUGCCUCCACCCAGCUGACUCUUCCCGUGGCCCCUGGACGGUAGUAUCUCCCUUUGACCGUGGCUUUUCAGCGGCUGACUUUCCGAGUCUUUCCCACCCUCCUGCUCUCACUCGCUCCACUCUGGUUGGACACCAGUGUGUUUCUAGUGUCUUCAAGGCUGCUUCUGGAACUCUCUCCUGUGCCUUCUGCCAGUCCAAACCCUGUGCCUCAAGCCGACUGGCUCUGAAACCGUCCACACAGAGAGAACCUCCGAGAAAUUCCUUUCACUCACCAUAAGAGGAGCCCUUGAUGAGCUUGGACAUUGCCGAUCGGAUGGUUGUGAUGGGGAUGAGAGCGAACAGCAUGACGGCCCGAGCUGGAAAGGAAUCACGGGAGAACACUCCUCACUGUAGCCCAGCCUUGGCCAAAGAGUAAAUUAGAAUAGAGCAAAGGCCUCCCCUACCCCCUCUCCCACAAUCCUAUGUGGCCUUGAAGAAAUGGUUUCUCUCCUGGCAGACUAGGACCCCCCCCCACCUCCUCCCCCUGCCCCGGGCAGGCUGAUUCUCCCAGCACAUUGCUGCAGACCCGUCUGCAAGGUGCCAAGCACAGUGGUGACAGAGGGUGAAGGGUGUCUUUAUUGGUAGAGUUGUUUCUAGGGAAGUGGAGCUGAUGUCACUCAGAACUCCUUGCCUCCUGGGAGAGAGGUGUCUGCGCUUGCCGUUCAUCGUCACCUCUGGGAGAUGGUCCCAGGAGCUUUGGCAGACUGCAUCUAGAAAUGUGUGCCACUAACUCACCUGCCACACACCCCUCCUUCCCUCAAGCCCUGUUCAUUAUCCCUUGGCGGGUGUG